rnacentral:pre_miRNA from 1 species
AUCUCUUAGGAAUCUUAUUAAAAUGCAGAUUCUUAUUCAGUAGUUAUGAACAGGGGGCCCAAGAUUCUGCAUUUGUAUUAAUAAGAUGCCAGGAGAUGCUGA